GGCUCCCUGUGCCGCGCCUAGGGAGAGCCGGGGCUUGUGCUCCCGAGUCUCUCCGGGUGCCUACAUGCGUGUGCUGUGACAUACAUCGUGUGUGUGUGUGUGUGUGUGUGUGUGUGUGUGUGUGUGUUUGUGUUUGUGCGAGCGAUGGGUACCUCUGCGUGAGUGAAGGAUUGUAGAGAAAGUGUGUGUGAGUGUAUAAAUAAAUAUGUAUGGAAGGCUGGAGUGUGUUUGUGGAGGUGGUUGGUUUUUUGUUUUAUUUUUUUCCCCUUGUGCAUAUAUGCUGACUGGCAUUUGACAGCUAUAAAAAAACAACUAGAGGACCGUAAAAUUGAAUGUGGAGAAUCACAGACUUCCCCCACUACCCCUGUGUAUACCUGUGGACGACGAGGCCCGUGGGAGUGAAUUAGGUGGAAGAAGUGAGAUGGAAAUAGAAGUGAGAUGAAAACAGAGGUGUAGCUGAAGUUGAAGCUGUAGCAAACAGAAAGUGAUCAUCUUUCUUGUUCUUUUAACUUCCAGGAUGCAUCUUAGUGUAAUAAGAAAAGAUUAACCUUUUAAUAUUUAUCUUAUCUGUGAACUUUGUAGUGUGUGUCUGAUAAUUAAAGUUUCCAGGUAUUAGUGUGGUGACACACUAAAUACAGCUCA